rnacentral:rRNA from 1 species
GAUGAACGCUGGCGGCGUGCCUAAUACAUGCAAGUCGAGCGAACGGACGCGAAGCUUGCUUUUCUGAUGUUAGCGGCGGACGGGUGAGUAACACGUGGAUCACCUACCUAUAAGACUGGGAUAACUUCGGGAAACCGGAGCUAAUACCGGAUAAUAUUUUGCACCGCAUGGUUCAAAAGUGAAAGACGGUCUUGCUGUCACUACUAGAUGCAUCCGCGCUGCAUUAGCUAGUUGGUAAGGUAACGGCUUACCAAGGCAACGAUGCAUAGCCGACCGGAGAGGGUGAUCGGCGACACUGGAACGGAGACACGGUCCAGACGCCUACGGGAGGCAGCAGUAGGGAAUCGUCCGCAAUGGGCGAAAGCCUGACGGAGCAACGCGGCGUGAGUGAUGAAGGUCUUCGGAUCGUAAAACUCUGUUAUUAGGGAAGAACAUAUGUGUAAGUAACUGUGCACAGCGUGACGGUAACUAAUAAGAAAGCCACGGCUAACUACGUG